ACUCCUACGGGAGGCAGCAGUGGGAAUAUUGGACAAUGGGGGCAACCCUGAUCCAGCAAUGCCGCGUGUGUGAAGAAGGCCUUCGGGUUGUAAAGCACUUUCAUUGAGGAGGAAAAGCUGUGCGUUAAUAGCGUACAGCCGUGACGUUACUCAAAGAAGAAGCACCGGCUAACUCCGUGCCAGCAGCCGCGGUAAUACGGAGGGUGCGAGCGUUAAUCGGAAUUACUGGGCGUAAAGCGCGCGUAGGCGGUUUGCUAAGUCAGAUGUGAAAUCCCCGGGCUUAACCUGGGAAGCUGCAUUUGAGACUGGUAGGCUAGAGUGUGGUAGAGGUGAGUGGAAUUUCAGGUGUAGCGGUGAAAUGCGUAGAGAUCUGAAGGAACAUCAGUGGCGAAGGCGACUCACUGGGCAUUACUGACGCUGAGGUGCGAAAGCGUGGGUAGCAAACAGGAUUAGAUACCCUGGUAGGCUCUG
rnacentral:rRNA from 1 species